GAGUUUGAUCCUGGCUCAGAAUGAACGUUGGCGGCGUGGAUUAGGCAUGCAAGUCGAGCGAGAAGGGUUUUCUAGCUUGCUAGAGAGCCUGGAAAGCGGCGAAAGGGAGAGUAACGCGUAGUUAUGUACCCAGGGGUUCGGAAUAGCCACGGGAAACUGUGGGUAAUGCCGAAUAAUAUCUCCGGAUCAAAGGUGAGAUUCCGCCCUUGGAGCAGACUGCGUCCUACUAGCUAGUUGGCGGGGUAAUGGCCCACCAAGGCAACGAUGGGUAGCGGGUGUGAGAGCAUGACCCGUCUCACUGGGACUGAGACACUGCCCAGACACCUACGGGUGGCUGCAGUCGAGAAUCUUCGGCAAUGAGCGAAAGCUUGACCGAGCGACGCCGCGUGUGGGAUGAAGGCCCUCGGGUUGUAAACCACUGUCGUAGGGGAGGAAGGCUCCGUGAAGAGCGGAGUUUGACCUAUCCUAGGAGGAAGUACGGGCUAAGUUCGUGCCAGCAGCCGCGGUAAGACGAACCGUACGAACGUUAUUCGGAAUUACUGGGCUUAAAGGGUUUGUAGGCGGCCUUGUAAGUCAGGUGUGAAAUCCCUCGGCUCAACCGAGGAAUAGCGCUUGAUACUGCAAGGCUUGAGGGAGACAGGGGUAAGCGGAACUGAUGGUGGAGCGGUGAAAUGCGUUGAUAUCAUCAGGAACACCGGUGGCGAAAGCGGCUUACUGGGUCUCUUCUGACGCUGAGGAACGAAAGCUAGGGUAGCGAACGGGAUUAGAUACCCCGGUAGUCCUAGCUGUAAACGAUGAGCACUUGUCUGGGGAUCCUCCCAUAGGUUCCCGGACGUAGCGAAAGUGUUAAGUGCUCCGCCUGGGGGAGUAUGGUCGCAAGGCUGAAACUCAAAGGAAUUGACGGGGGCUCACACAAGCGGGGGGAGGAUGUGGCUUAAUUCGAGGCUACGCGAAGAACCUUAUCCAGGCCUUGACAUGCACGGAUUAACCCGGUGAAAGCCGGGCCCCGCCUUCCGGGUGGAACGUGCACAGGUGCUGCAUGGCUGUCGUCA
rnacentral:rRNA from 1 species